rnacentral:pre_miRNA from 1 species
CCAUCAAAGAGACUGUGAAAUGUGUGCUAAAUGUGAUUCAUAUCACAGCCAUCUUUGAUGAGCU